rnacentral:lncRNA from 1 species
CUUCACAUCCACGUAAUAGAUGCCAUCCACAAGGGGCCCAGCCCUGCCUCUGCUUCCCCAAGACGCAGACUGUGUCCUCUGGGAGACCAUCACGUUCCUUCGGGUGAAUGAAGCCUGUAGUGCUUCAUUUCCCGCAGCCAACAGCUGCUCUUCCGGCAUUCGUUCCACGGCUGUGUGUCACGUUCUCCUGCCCCAACUCAUUUCACCCUUCAUUAUCUGACUCUUUUCAAGGGUUAUUUUCAUCCAUGUGCUCAGCGUUUCUUUUUUAACCCCUCACCUUCCAUCUCAGAUCAGUCCUGUGUAUUGGUUACAGGGCAGGAGAGCGUUAAGGGAGAGGCAGUGGGGAUCAGGUGACUCGUCCAGGGUCACCCAGCUAUUAGGGUCUGAGGUCAGAUUUGAACCAGGACAUCCCAUCUCUAGGCCUGCCUCUCCAUCCACUGAGCCACCCAGCUGCCUCUGCUCUUUGUUUCUAAGGGCCCAGGAACAUUCCAUCUCCAUGAGACUCCUCGAUUUCUUCGGUCAUUCCCCAAUCUUUGGGCAUCCGUCCCCUCUGCCCUCGAUGCUUUUUCAUUUCGGGAAGCAGACUCAGCAAUAGUGUCUUUGGUCCCUUCAUCAAUCAGGGGGAGGCCCUAAUUCUCACCAACUAGACACACUUUCCUACUUCCCAGAGGCUGCCUAUCAACCUUCCCCCCAAUUUCCUGCUUUCCUGCUCAGACACUGGUGACCCCCUGGGCAAGUCCCUUACCUCAGUUUCCCUCAGUUCUCCAUCUGUAAAAUGAGCUGGAGAAAUGGCAAAGCAGUCCAGAAUGUCUGCCAGGAGAGCCCAAAGGGGGCCAGGAAGACUCUGAAUAGCUGAACAAAUAGAGCACCGACCACGAGGCAGGCACCAUGCAAAGGGCAUUUGACCCUCCCCAAUGCCCUAGGAGGACAUUUCUCCAAACCCUCCUUAUGUGGAGCACCAAGUACUGUGGUCUCUGCAGGAGACUCAGUGACCCUCCUGUGCCAGGCGUCACCCACCUAUCAUAACCCCAAAUUCACGUUCUCUCUGCUGAAGGCUGGGGUGCCCCAUCCCGUACAGCGCCAGAGCCCAGAAGGGCGUGAGGCCAACUUCACUCUCCCGUCUGUGAAGGCUGAGGAUGCUGGGAGCUACAGCUGCAUUGACUCACUGGAAGGGAGAGCAUCAUCUCCCAGUGACGCCCUGCACUUGGAGGUGACAGGUGGAAAGGACUCACAUCCCCCCAAGCCAGAGUCCCAAGACAGGCUGAACACUCACCGGGAGGCCAGGAUGGAGGCCCUCUGGGGUCCCUCCCACUCAGCUCCUGGCCCGGACACCAGGCUGGGGAGAUAGUCCUUAGCUCAACAUUACACCUUGGGCAACAUCGUCCGCAUAGCUCUGGCAGGGUUCGUCCUCAUCAUCCUGAGCGUCUUCCUGGCCGAGGCCUGGCACAGCCAAUGGGGGUCCUGAGAAGCAGCCCCAGGACCUCCCUGCCCAGGACAUGGGCCUGCCAGGAAAGCAGAGUCGGGGUCCGAGGAUUGGGUUGUUUGUUGUGGGGAGAGAUGGCGGGGGUGGGGGCCCCAGGGGAGCUGUGAAGGGUUUAUCCAAGCCAGUUUGUUGUCAUUCCUCACCUGAGGUUAGCAUCAAAGCAUUGCCUGAUGAUCUGUCUGUUGCUGGAUCUCCUCACUGUGAUAAGAGCCUCUAAAUACCUUCAGAGGUUGCUCUAGGGCUAAGUAGCUUAUCCUUGUUCAUUCACAUUUUCUCAGCCAUUGUGGCCAGUCCUGUGUUCCGGUCACAGCCAUAUGGAGCAAUAAUGGAGGCUCUUGUUAUGGGGUUGUAAUGUAAUGGGGUUGCACAAGUUGUCCUGGGAAAAUGUUGGUAUCUAACCAGAUCUUUAGUGUAACACUGAAAUAGUGGUUUAAAAAAGGAGGAGCAACUGAGUAGCUCAGUGGAUUGAGAGCCAAAUCUAGAGACGGAGGCCCUCAAUUCAAAUCUGGCCUCAGAUACUUCCCAGCUGUGUGACCCUAGGCAAGUCACUAAACCCCCAUUGCCUAGCCCUGACCAUUCUUCUGCCUUGUAACCAAUACACAGUAUUAAUUCCAAGACAGAAGGAGAGGGCUUAAAAAAAACUGAAGUGGUGUGGAAAUAUGUUUUUCCCUAAUAGCAGCACCAAUAGGUGGUUAGAUAAAGAAUGAGUGACCCCAAAAUGUGGGGAAAUUCGUUAAUAUGUAUAACAAUUCCCCCCCUGAGAUCCCAUGUUACAAUGGUAUCAAGAGAGGCUGAAAUUCAUUUUCACCUUUUAUGAGAUCAUAAAUAUCUAUGAAUGUAACAUGUAAUUGUGGGAAGCGUGUUG